GCGCACGUAGCUCAGAGGAUUAGAGCAUCUGACUACGGAUCAGAAGGUCGGGGGUUCGAAUCCUCCCGUGCGCG
rnacentral:tRNA from 2 species